rnacentral:rRNA from 1 species
UACGGAGGAUGCAAGCGUUAUCCGGAAUGAUUGGGCGUAAAGCGUCCGCAGGUGGCUGUGUAAGUCUGCUGUCAAAGAGCGAAGCUCAACUUCGUAAAGGCAGUGGAAACUACACGGCUAGAAUGCGUUCGGGGCAGAGGGAAUUCCUGGUGUAGCGGUGAAAUGCGUAGAGAUCAGGAAGAACACCGGUGGCGAAGGCGCUCUGCUAGGCCGCAACUGACACUGAGGGACGAAAGCUAGGGGAGCAAACGGG